rnacentral:rRNA from 1 species
AGGACGAACGCUGGCGGCGUGCUUAACACAUGCAAGUCGAGCGAGGCCCCUUCUUCGGGAGGGUGUUCUAGCGGCGAACGGGUGAGUAACACGUGGGCAACCUGCCCUCAGCUCUGGGAUAACUCCAAGAAAUUGGGGCUAAUACCGGAUAUGACCGCUGACCGCAUGGUCUGGUGGUGGAAAGAUUUAUCGGCUGGGGGAUCGGGCCCGCGGCCUAUCAGCUUGGUUGGUGGGGUAGUGGCCUACCAAGGCGACGACGGGUAGCCGGCCUGAGAGGGUGACCGGGCCACACUGGGACUGAGACACGGCCCAGACUCCUACGGGAGGCAGCAGUGGGGAAUAUUGCGCAAUGGG